rnacentral:rRNA from 1 species
GAUCCUGGCUCAGGACGAACGCUGGCGGCGCGCCUAACACAUGCAAGUCGAACGGAGCUUAGAGAGCUUGCUUUUUAAGCUUAGUGGCGAACGGGUGAGUAACGCGUGAGUAACCUGCCCUAGAGUGGGGGACAACAGUUGGAAACGACUGCUAAUACCGCAUAAGCCCACGGUACCGCAUGGUACUGAGGGAAAAGGAUUUAUUCGCUUUAGGAUGGACUCGCGUCCAAUUAGCUAGUUGGUGAGGUAACGGCCC